GGCUGGCUCAGGUGGUAGAGCAUGACACUCUUGAUCUCAGGGUUGUGGGUUCGAACUCCAUGUUGGGCCA